UAACAAGGAUUCCCCUAGUAACUGCGAGUGAAGCGGGAAAAGCUCAAAUUUAAAAUCUGGCGGUGGUUAGCCGUCCGAAUUGUAGCCUAGAGAAGUGUUGCCUGUGCUGAACCAUGUAUAAGUCUCCUGGGAUGGAGCGUCAGAGAGGGUGAGAAUCCCGUGUUUGACAUGGACUAGCAGUGCAUUGUGGUACGCUCUCAAAGAGUUGAGUUGUUUGGGAAUGCAGCUCUAAAUGGGUGGUAAAUUCCAUCUAAAGCUAAAUAUUGGCGAGAGACCGAUAGCGAACAAGUACCGUGAGGGAAAGAUGAAAAGAACUUUGGAAAGAGAGUUAAACAGUAUGUGAAAUUGUUGAAAGGGAAACGCUUGAAGUCAGUGGCAUUGGGUGGGGAUCAAUGCAGCUCUUUUGCUGGAUGUAAUUCCUAGUCGAUGGGCCAACAUGAGUUCUGACUGCUGGAGAAAGGCGAGGUGAAUGUGGCACUUUUAAGUGUGUUUAUAGCACCUGGUUGUAUGCAGUGGUUGGGACUGAGGAAAAGCAGCGCGCCACUUGGCAGGGUUUCGACCACAUUCGCGCUUAGGAUGUUGGCAAUAAUGGCUUUAAGCGAC
rnacentral:rRNA from 1 species